rnacentral:rRNA from 1 species
GAUGAACGCUAGCGAUAGGCUUAACACAUGCAAGUCGAGGGGCAGCAUGGUCUUAGCUUGCUAAGGCUGAUGGCGACCGGCGCACGGGUGCGUAACGCGUAUGCAACUUGCCUCACAGAGGGGGAUAACCCGUCGAAAGACGGACUAAUACCGCGUACACUCUAUUUUGGGCAUCCAAGGUAGAGGAAAUGAAAUUCGCUGUGAGAUAGGCAUGCGUCCCAUUAGCUAGUUGGUGAGGUAACGGCUCACCAAGGCGACGAUGGGUAGGGGAACUGAGAGGUUGAACCCCCACACUGGUACUGAGACACGGACCAGACUCCUACGGGAGGCAGCAGUGAGGAAUAUUGGUCAAUGGGCGAGAGCCUGAACCAGCCAAGUCGCGUGAAGGAUGACUGUCUUAUGGAUUGUAAACUUCUUUUGUAGGGGAAUAAAGAGGGGCACGUGUGCCCCAGUGAAUGUACCCUACGAAUAAGCAUCGGCUAACUCCGUG